rnacentral:rRNA from 1 species
AUAUCAAUAAGCGGAGGAAAAGAAACCAACAGGGAUUGCCCUAGUAACGGCGAGUGAAGCGGCAACAGCUCAAAUUUGAAAUCUGGCCCCAGGCCCGAAUUGUAAUUUGCAGAGGAUGCUUCUGGUAACGUGCCUUCGGAGUCCCCUGGAACGGGGCGCCAGAGAGGGUGAGAGCCCCGUAUCGUUGUGCACCGCGCCUUUGUGUAGCGCCUUCGACGAGUCGAGUAGUUUGGGAAUGCUGCUCAAAAUGGGAGGUAAACUUCUUCUAAAGCUAAAUACCGGCCAGAGACCGAUAGCGCACAAGUAGAGUGAUCGAAGGAUGAAAAGUACUUUGGAAAGAGAGUCAAAUAGCACGUGAAAUUGUUGAAAGGGAAGCGCUUGCAGCCAGACUUGCCCGCAGUUGCUCACCCAGGCUCUCGCCUGGGGCACUCUUCUGCGGGCAGGCCAGCAUCAGUUUGGGCGGUUGGAUAAAGGCCUCUGUCACGUAUCUUCCUUCGGGAUGACCUUAUAGGGGAGGCGCAAUGCAACCAGCCCGGACUGAGGUCCGCGCAUCUGCUAGGAUGCUGGCGUAAUGGCUGUAAGCGG